rnacentral:rRNA from 1 species
UACGAAGGGGGCUAGCGUUGCUCGGAAUCACUGGGCGUAAAGGGUGCGUAGGCGGGUCUUUAAGUCAGGGGUGAAAUCCUGGAGCUCAACUCCAGAACUGCCUUUGAUACUGAGGAUCUUGAGUUCGGGAGAGGUGAGUGGAACUGCGAGUGUAGAGGUGAAAUUCGUAGAUAUCGCAAGAACACCAGUGGCGAAGGCGGCUCACUGGCCCGGUACUGACGCUGAGGUGCGAAAGCGUGGGGAGCAAACAGG